rfam:Stegodyphus mimosarum contig100509, whole genome shotgun sequence.
GCCUUCGUGGUGUAGUGGUCAUCACACUCGGCCCGUAUUCGAGAGAUCAGUGGUUCGAAUCUCGGGGAGGGCA